rnacentral:sRNA from 1 species
GCUGGGCACAGAGGUGCACUCCUAUAAUCCCAGCUACUUGGGAGGCUGAGACAGGAGGAUUACAAGUUUGUGGCCAGUCUGGGCAAUUUAGUGAGACCCUGUCUCAA